rnacentral:rRNA from 1 species
GAUCAUGGCUCAGGAUGAACGCUAGCGACAGGCUAACACAUGCAAGGUCGAGGGGCAGCAUAAAAGUAGCAAUACUUGGUGGCGACCGGCGCACGGGUGAGUAACGCGUAUGCAACCUACCUAUCAGAGGGAAAUAACCCGGCGAAAGUCGGACUAAUACCGCAUAAAACAGGGGCACCGCAUGGUGAUAUUUGUUAAAGAAAUUCGCUGAUAGAUGGGCAUGCGUUCCAUUAGGUAGUUGGUGAGGUAACGGCUCACCAAGCCGACGAUGGAUAGGGAACUGAGAGGUUGGUCCCCCACACUGGUACUGAGACACGGACCAGACUCCUACGGGAGGCAGCAGUGAGGAAUAUUGGUCAAUGGGCGGGAGCCUGAACCAGCCAAGUCGCGUGAAGGAAGAAGGAUCUAUGGUUCGUAAACUUCUUUUGCAGGGGAAUAAAGUGCAGGACGUGUCCUGUUUUGUAUGUACCCUGAGAAUAAGGAUCGGCUAACUCCGUGCCAGCCGCCGC